CUGUGGACUGAGGGCUUCUCUCGGGCAGGGCGUGUGCUCUCUUCAUGUCUGCUCCUCACCCAUCACUCACCGGUGAUGUCAACAAACGUAGGAGGUGGCUGUGAUGCAUUGGGCCGGGUUCCAGGCACCGGACUGAACACAAAGAAAAGGCCUUUGCUGUCAGGAGUUAGUGUCCUAGGACAAGGAGCACCAGGCUGCUUUGGGAGACCCCGCCUGGCUCAGCGUCCCGUGCCCCAAGCCGGUAAAACAGAGGCUGACAGACAGGGGUGACCACGUGCGUCAGCCCCGCCAGGCCGGCCUGUGCAGAGGAGUUUCACCAGGGCGGGGCUGGCACGUGCGCCCCGGGUGGCUGGGCAGGUUGGCUGGGGCCUCGCCCGGACCCAUCAGCUGGUGAGCAUCAUCCUCCUUCGGCAGUGGGCCAGAAGGGGAUUUCACGAGGCGAGGCGUGGACGCUUCGAGGCAGAGGGACUCCUAGUUUCCGGGUCAGACAAACCAGACACCGCUGAGGAUGCUCCGUCACGAGCUGUGUCCCGGGUGACACAUGGACACAUCCUGUGCGUUACUUCACUGCGUCCCGAAGGACUGGAGCCGUGCCCAUUUUGCAGGUGGAUUCUUAACGACUGGAGCACCGGGGAAGUUCUUGAGCGGCUUUGGAACAGCAGCAGGAAGGGCUCACAGGGAGGCUGACCUUCCUCCACGAACUUCACUUGGGUCCAGGGCCACAGUCUCCCUCCUCACUCCUGGUCUCUUCUUGGGGGAGAAUGGCCUUGUCCCAGCUGUUCACCUUUCCUCGGGGACAGCAAGGCUGCCGCCGGUGAACAGGACCUGAGAAGACGAACCGCCUCCAGCAGCCCUUCAGCUGGAGACGGAGAUUUCUGGCACCUGGGAAUGUCGGGCGUGAGUGUGUGAACACCUCCAGCCACCCCCGAAACUGACCUUUGUCCUCCUCUGCCCGCUCUGCGUUUAUGUGGGUCGUCCUCAGCCACACCCCAGAUUCCUUUCAGAACAAGCACCGGGGACUUUCUUCUUAUCAAGAUGGGUAAGGAAUGGGAGCCACGUAAGCUAACGAUUCCGGGCAGAAAACCAAGCACGAACUCCUUUACCCUUCAAGAAAGCAUUUCAGGGACUUCCCUGGUGGCUCAGGGGUAAGGAAUCAUCUGCCUGCCAAUGCAGAAGACGUGGGUUCGAUCCCUGAACCAGGAAGAUCCCACAUGCCUCGCGGCAGCUAAGUCCAUGUGCCACAACUCCUGAAGCCCUUUCGCCUCAAGAGCCCAAGUUCCGCAACAAGAGAAGCCACUGCACUGAGAAGCCGGUGAAACUAGAACGGAGCCCCAGCUCCCCGCAAUAGAGAAGAGCCCAGGCAACGACGAAGACCCAGCACAGCCAAAGAAAACAAAUGAAUAAUAAAAUAAAACAGAAAGCAUUGCAAGGAAAAGACGCGAGGCCUCCUGAGCCAUUUAUAUCCAGGCUGGUGAGAGAGCUGGAGGAGGCGGGGAGGGGGCCCUGUUCCCAGAGGUUGCCCUGGCUGAUGAGAGGCCUGGCCAGGGAACCAGGGUCUAACAGGGUGGGCUGUUUGGUACCCAGAAGGGUCUCACGGCCUUGCACAGGCCCUGAGUGCAGAGACGCGAACGGGGAGGCAUAAAAACCAGAAAAGCACAGUCGCAGUGAGGUCGUGUAUGAGAAAGGGAAGUGCGAGGCAGGAGACAGAGGCCAGAGGCCAGAAGGCCUUAAAACGCAAGAAGAGGGAUCAGGUAGAUGCGAUCAGACUGGAGUGACCACGUUAACGAGCAGAAAUGCUGUGUUGCCAUAUUAAGUCAGAGGAGGCAGCGUAGAACCAUGUUCAUAUUCAUAUGCAAAUCAUUCAUAUUCAUAAGGCCUGGGAGGAAGUCACCAAAACACUAGGAUACUAACAUGGUUAUCUCUAAGUGCAGAACUAUGGAUGCUUCUUCAUUUUUUUCCUGCCUUCCUUAAUUUAUUCAUUUCUUUCUUUCCUUCUUUUUUUUUUUUUGGUACUUUCUUACUUUUCUGUAAUGAGCCUGAAGUAUUUCAUAGGGGAAAAGGGGAAGCUUUGCUUUCUAUGUGUGUUUAUUUUUGUUUUUAAGCCAAGGGAUUUUCACAGACUCGACUCACUCAGCAACAUCCAGUCAGGGACAGAGACCUGGUCACCAGCAUCGCCUCCCGAGUAGAGAAUCGUGAAGAAUUUUUAAAACUGGCUUUCUGUCAUGGAAGAUCUUCCAGGUGGCCCUAGGACAAUAGCAUCCAUUUCUAAACAUUUGUAUUCAUGGUGCAAGGGUGCCGCUGCUCCUGGCCUAGCCAGUCCGUGUUUUAUGGUACACCUUGGGCUCCGCUCGCUUGAUUAUGAGCUGUUAUCCUCACCAACUCUCCAAAUCUGCUGCCUGCUGCGAGGUGUUA